rnacentral:rRNA from 1 species
CAGUAGCCGCGGUAAUACGAAGGGUGCAAGCGUUAAUCGGAAUUACUGGGCGUAAAGCGUGCGUAGGCGGUUUGUUAAGUCUGUUGUGAAAUCCCCGGGCUCAGCCUGGGAAUGGCAAUGGAUACUGGCAAGCUAGAGUGUGUCAGAGGAUGGUGGAAUUCCCGGUGUAGCGGUGAAAUGCGUAGAGAUCGGGAGGAACAUCAGUGGCGAAGGCGGCCAUCUGGGACAACACUGACGCUGAGGCACGAAAGCGUGGGGAGCAAACAGGAUUAGAUACCCCUGUAGUCCCUGUCUCUUAUAC